GACGUAGGGGGCCAGCGUUGCUCGGAAUCACUGGGCGUAAAGGGUGCGUAGGCGGGUCUUUAAGUCAGGGGUGAAAUCCUGGAGCUCAACUCCAGAACUGCCUUUGAUACUGAAGAUCUUGAGUUCGGGAGAGGUGAGUGGAACUGCGAGUGUAGAGGUGAAAUUCGUAGAUAUUCGCAAGAACACCAGUGGCGAAGGCGGCUCACUGGCCCGAUACUGACGCUGAGGCACGAAAGCGUGGGGAGCAAACAGG
rnacentral:rRNA from 1 species